GCUUGCUCGAGUCUCCCGCUUGCCGCUCUCUCACAGUCUCCUCGUCCUUCAUCUUGAAGGCUUCCUCUGCUCGAGCAUAUCCUUCGGCCCCAGCCAGCAAAUCAGCAAAAUUCCUGGGGUACUUCUUUUCUAAGGAGAACAGAAGGUCGUUCUUCUGAAGGCCGCCUUUCAGAGCAGCCAUCGCGAUCGAUUGGUCCAAGUUUCGGACCUCCAACGCAGCGACGUUAAAACGGUUGACGUAAGCCCGGAUGGAUUCCCCCUCACUUUGCUUGAUGUUGAUGAGUGACUCCGACCCUCUCCGGGGAUGCCGGCUGCUAACAAAAUGAGCCACGAACUAGUGGCUCAUCUGAUCAAAGGAAAAGAUGGUACCCGGCUUCAACAUCGAGUACCAGUUCCUUGCUGCUCCCUUCAGGGUGGAUGGAAAAGCUCGGCAUAGAAUGACGUCUGGCGCGCCAUGGAGCAGCAUCAUCAUCCGAAAUGCUUCCAGGUGGUCGACCGGGUCUGAGGUCCCGUCAUAGCUUUUGAAUUGGGGGAGCUUGAAGUUUGG
rnacentral:lncRNA from 1 species